rnacentral:lncRNA from 1 species
UCGGUAAACGUUGAGUUUUUCCCAUUACGUCCGUUGACGUAUGGUUGUAUCUCUUCCAGUCAUUCAUUAAUGUCUGGUUACCUCUCCGUUGGUCUCGGUAAACGUUGAGUUUUUCCCAUUACGUCCGUUGACGUAUGGUUGUAUCUCUUCCAGUCAUUCAUUAAUGUCUGGUUACCUCUCCGUUGGUCUCGGUAAACGUUG